GUGGCUUAGAGACACAUGGGGCAGAUGUCUGAAUCAAGUAUGGUCUUGUGUAAAUUUUGACAUGUGUUCAGUCUUUCGUUAUGCAGUAGCCAUACAAAAAAAACAUUGUUGGCCACCCUUGAUGACUAAAACAGAGAGAGUGGGAUCAUCAAUUCCUUGGUAUCUCUAUCCUCAACCAAACUACGGACCAUCCAACCUUCGGUCAGGUUCACUAUUCUUCAAUCUUAGUGCUGCAUAUUCCUAUUUGAAUGAUACUUGGUGCAUAAAAUUAGUGAUUUGGAAAAUUCUUUUUUUUUCUUUGUUACGAACAAAUCUGCAACUCUGUAUCCUAUUUCUUGCCACUGUUUUGUGUUAUUUUGCUCACACAGAAUGGCCAUGUUUAUCUUAAAUUUCCUUCUCAAUUGCCUUUAAAUUAAUAAAUCAGGGUAACAAAUAGAAUGUGUCUGUUCCAUUACCCACAACUGUACCAUUAUCUACUAUUGAAUAGUUGGAUCAAUAAACUUGUCGUAAUCUUUUGUUGUAGAAGAGCAAUGUUCUACCUGCUUAUAGUUAUAUGUCAUCCUGAGUUGUUAUUUGUAAGAUGAUGAUGAUUGAUAAGAAUCUCAUCGAUAAGUUUUGCCCUGAAUUUUUUCUCAUUGAGUUUUGGUACAUUUGGUAUUGUUUGAUAUGCUAUCUAAUAUAUAGUGUGUGCUCCCACUUCAGUUGAUUAAUUAUUUUUCACUUAGCAGCGGGUGAUUGAUGGACCAAUUAUGCCAGUAAUGUCCUUAAUUUCAGAGAAGAUGCAAAACAGAUAACAUGGAUGAGCUUGCAUACUUGCCGGUAGUGUAGCUUUCUGCUGAACCAUAUAUUCUGCCAGGAGAAGUUUCAGUGACCAAUGGAAGCUUUGAUGUAUUUUUUUCAAGCAAAAGUAAUCGUCUAUUAUCCAUGUCAGGUUUCGACUCAAAUUGUGGUGCUUCUGUUCUAUGCAAUUUUAUUUUCUUACUGAUGCCAUGUUCUGGCAUUCCUUAUCUUUUAUGCCUGAUGUGAGUCUUAGUGCUAAUAAGAACUAUUUUUUCCCAAUGGUAAAUCUACCUUUUCCCCAUCAUGUGACUUAAAGCUAAUCUAUUCAUGGUUAGUUGUCCUUCCUGUAUAAAGGUCAUCUGUUUCGAUUCAGUUCUCUUCGCUUUCUUUUACUGUAACAUAGACCAUGCUCACAUGGUCGCAAAUUGUAAACAGAGAUGGAAACGUGCAUACAGAUCUCUCGAGCAUGC
rnacentral:lncRNA from 1 species